rnacentral:lncRNA from 1 species
AGAGGGACUUUCAGCAGCUGGAGAGUCCCUGCCCCAACUCACAGAAUCCUCCCUCCUUCCACUUUCCAUCCCAGACCCCCUGGAGGAGAAAAGCCAGGGGCUCAGGCCCUCUGUGGGGCUGGCUGUGCACAAACCUCUCAAGGCUCCGGGACACCUGGCGAUGUUUCUGUGCUUCAGGAAGCUGGGAAUCAGCAAUACCUUUUGAAGACAAGUGUGCACACACUAUAAAUAGGUGUCAUGGAGGAGACAAAGACUUCCUUCUGGUGAUGAUCAUUGGAUCAAUACACAUAAACUGGUGCAAAGGACCAAGGGAAGGAAGCUGAAUGAGGAGGACGCAGGUGCGUCUUGGCAGUCCCAGAAAUGCAGCAAGGAAGGGGGGACAUUCAUACCCAACCAGGACGAGUUGCUCAGCUGGCCAUAUGCAUGUCAUUUAAGGGAA